ensembl:lncRNA LINC01890 long intergenic non-protein coding RNA 1890
ACUAUGGCAUGGACCCUCAUCCUCGAGCCCCACUACUCAGAGGAGCUGGGAAGAAUUUCCACCCUUCCUAGUGGCAAGUCUCACUGUGAGAGCGGAGUGCCACCAGGCAAACAGGGCAGAAAGACUGCUUUAAGGAGAAUCCUUAUAUUGGGGGUUAUGAAGUGCAAUACACCCUCAUCCUCACGCUAACACUGGUACCAUGUAGCCCAAGCUUGUCUAACCUGCAGCCCGCGGGCUGUGUAUGGCCCAGGACAGCUCUGAAUGUGGCCCAACGCAAAUUUGUAAACUUUCUAAAACAUUAUGAGAUUUUUUUUUCUCAUCAGCUAUCAUCAGUGUGAGUGUAUGUUAUUUGUGACUCAAGACAAUCCUUCUUUUCCAAUGUGGCCCAGAGAAGCCAAAAGACUGGACACCCCUGAUGUGGCCCUUUCAUCCAUAGUAGCCUAUUUUGUCCUAAAGACGGUCUUGUGCAGUGAGUAGGCCAGGCCUCCCCACUACCACAGUUUACAGGCAAGGAAUGUGAUAUUUCAUAGGAUGACCCUGACUGGCACCUACAUUGCUAGCCAAAGAAUGGCACAAAGAUGUGGACAGAAGAGACAACCUUAAGCAGCUGACUGCUGGCUCCUGCAACAGUAUCAUCAUGGCAUUUGUCCUGGGGUCCCAAGGAAAGAAAACAAAUCUGUGGCUGAGGAACAGACUGAGUUGACAAAGCAGCUUCCACAGUAACACAAGGACAAAGGGUGUAUGUAGAUAUGCACGUGGUAGCAGGUUCUACUAAAGGAACCUGGACCGACCAUUCUCACUCACAUUCUUUGGGAGCUGUAUUCUAAUACUUUCAGAAAAGCCAUGGGAACACACCAGAGUGACUGCUCGAGUAAAUAAGUAGCAUAAACAGCAAGCCAAACCAUUGAUGUACACAUCACUGGGCCCAAUACUAUGAAAUCCCACAUAAGAAACUUGAAAGUGAAAGCUGGAAUUCUGAGGAUACUGGUUUUGCUUAAUAAACAGCAUUUCAACAGUUAUUGUCAUGAUAUUGCUACUGAUGCUGAACAAAGACCCAAGAACCAGGGUGAUGUUUAGCAUGGGCUGGCCUCAGCAGGACUGAAAGGACAUCAAUAAGGGAGAACAGAGAGAAGGAAGGAGGACAAGUGCCAACUUUGAGCAGGCCUGCUAUAGAUUACUGUCUUCCCCAAAUUGAAGCUUUAUGAUGUGACUUCUCUGGCGGAUGGGAACAAUCCCUCUUGUCUCUAAAGAUGGAAGCCAAGUGCCUCUCAGUGCCCCUCUGUCUGACUUACUUUUUAAUCUGUUCCUCA